rfam:Ixodes scapularis strain Wikel colony gcontig_1108378354230, whole genome shotgun sequence.
GCCUCGGUGGCUCCGAGGCGAGAGCGCCGGCCUACGGAUCCGCAGGUGGCGGGUUCGAAUCCCGACUCAGGUG